UACGAGAGGUCCCGAGCGUUGUUCGGAUUUAUUGGGCGUAAAGGGUGCGUAGGUGGCGGGGUAAGUCAGGUGUGAAAUCUCGGAGCUACAACCGUCCGAACUGCACUUGAUACUGCCUUGCUCGAGUACUGGAGAGGAGAUUGGAAUUACGGUGUAGCAGUGAAAUGCGUAGAUAUCGUAAGGAAGACCAGUGGCGAAGGCGAAUCUCUGGACAGUUACUGACACUGAGGCACGGAAGGC
rnacentral:rRNA from 1 species